UCAACUUUAUUAGAAGAGACGCAUUUAUUAGAUAAAAAGCCAAUGCAUGCUUUUACAGUAUGAAAAUUGGUGAUUUAUAAUAACUUAGCAAAUCGCAAAGUGAAAACAGGCGAUAAAUCAUUCAAGUUUCUGACCUAUCAGCUUUCGACGGUAUGGUAUUGGCUUACCGUGGCAGUGACGGUUAACGGGGGAUUAGGGUUCGAUUCCGGAGAGGGAGCCUGAGAAACGGCUACCACAUCUAAGGAAGGCAGCAGGCGCGCAAAUUACCCAAUUCUAACAGUUUGAGAGAGGUAGUAACAAGAAAUAACAAUACAAGGCAGUUAAAAUGCUUUGUAAUUGGAAUGAUAGAAAUUUAAACCCUU
rnacentral:rRNA from 1 species